rnacentral:piRNA from 1 species
UCUACUUAGGCAGAAUGAUACUUCUUUCAAU